AGAGUUUGAUCAUGGCUCAGGAUGAACGCUAGCGGCAGGCCUAACACAUGCAAGUCGAGGGGUAACGAUGUCUUCGGACAGUCGACGACCGGCGCACGGGUGAGGAACGCGUAUACAACCUUAUACUGGGGGAUAGCCCAGAGAAAUCUGGAUUAAUACCGCAUAACACCCGGUUACCGCAUGGCAACCGAAUUAAAACUCCGGUGGUUUGAGAUGGGCAUGCGUGACAUUAGCUAGUUGGUAAGGUAAUGGCUUACCAAGGCUACGAUUUCUAGGGGUUCUGAGAGGAUGAUCCGCCACACUGGUACUGAGACACGGACCAGACUCCUACGGGAGGCAGCAGUGAGGAAUAUUGGUCAAUGGGCGCAAGCCUGAACCAGCCAUGCCGCGUGCAGGAAGACGGCCCUAUGGGUUGUAAACUGCUUUUAUAUAGGAAGAAAAUGUUCUACGUGUAGAGCACUGACGGUACUAUAUGAAUAAGCACCGGCUAACUCCGUGCCAGCAGCCGCGGUAAUACGGAGGGUGCAAGCGUUGUCCGGAUUUAUUGGGUUUAAAGGGUGCGUAGGUGGCGUGUUAAGUCAGUGGUGGUGAAAUCUCUCGGCUCAACCGAGAAACUGCCAUUGAAACUGAUAGCCUUGAGUAUAGUUGUAGUAGGCGGAAUAUAGCAUGUAGCGGUGAAAUGCUUAGAUAUGCUAUAGAACACCGAUCGCGAAGGCAGCUUACUAAACUAUUACUGACGCUCAUGCACGAAAGCGUGGGGAGCAAACAGGAUUAGAUACCCUGGUAGUCCACGCCGUAAACGAUGAUUACUCGAUGUUGGCAAUAUACCGUCAGCGUCCAAGCGAAAGCGUUAAGUAAUCCACCUGGGGAGUACGAUCGCAAGAUUGAAACUCAAAGGAAUUGACGGGGGCCCGCACAAGCGGAGGAGCAUGUGGUUUAAUUCGAUGAUACGCGAGGAACCUUACCUGGGCUCAAACGUAGAGUGACCAUCUGUGAAAGCAGAUUUCUUCGGGACGCUUUACAAGGUGCUGCAUGGUUGUCGUCAGCUCGUGCCGUGAGGUGUCGGGUUAAGUCCCAUAACGAGCGCAACCCUUAUCCUUAGUUGCCAGCGGGUAAUGCCGGGGACUCUAAGGAGACUGCCAGUGUAAACUGUGAGGAAGGUGGGGAUGACGUCAAAUCAGCACGGCCCUUAUGUCCAGGGCUACACACGUGUUACAAUGGCCGAUACAAAGGGCAGCUACCUGGUGACAGGAUGCUAAUCUCCAAAGUCGGUCUCAGUUCGGAUCGAAGUCUGCAACUCGACUUCGUGAAGUUGGAUUCGCUAGUAAUCGUAUAUCAGCAAUGAUACGGUGAAUACGUUCCCGGGCCUUGUACACACCGCCCGUCAAACCAUGGAAGCUGGGGGUACCUGAAGUCUGUCACCGCAAGGAGCCGCCUAGGGUAAAACUGGUAACUGGGGCUAAGUCGGAACAAGGUAGCCGUA
rnacentral:rRNA from 1 species